rnacentral:tmRNA from 1 species
GGGGGUGUACUGGUUUCGACGGGAUUGUGGGCGGUCAGGUAAGCGAGCCGUGGACCCGAGCCACGUUAAAAUCGGGAAAUUAAAAAUUAACUGACAAUAACGAUUAUUGCCUCGCGGCCUAAUUAGGCUGCGCGUCGGACCGAUGAUCCCGCUGCAUCGGAAUCCGGCGUCAUUUAGCGGGCCAUGUUCUUGCCUAAGCUUUGCAGCAUGAACACAUAAUGAAGCUACUGAAUCCCUGAGCCUGUUCACGGGCGCUGGGAAGAGGGAAUGUUAAAACAUGAACUGCGCUCGGAGAAAACUUGGCUGUCGCUUUUUCGGACAGGAGUUCGAUUCUCCUCACCUCCACCA